UGGAUCCAGACUUUGAUCAUGGCUCAGGACGAACGCUGGCGGCGUGCCUAAUACAUGCAAGUCGAGCGAGCUUGCCUAGAUGAUUUUAGUGCUUGCACUAAAUGAAACUAGAUACAAGCGAGCGGCGGACGGGUGAGUAACACGUGGGUAACCUGCCCAAGAGACUGGGAUAACACCUGGAAACAGAUGCUAAUAUCGGAUAACAACACUAGACGCAUGUCUAGAGUUUGAAAGAUGGUUCUGCUAUCACUCUUGGAUGGACCUGCGGUGCAUUAGCUAGUUGGUAAGGUAACGGCUUACCAAGGCAAUGAUGCAUAGCCGAGUUGAGAGACUGAUCGGCCACAUUGGGACUGAGACACGGCCCAAACUCCUACGGGAGGCAGCAGUAGGGAAUCUUCCACAAUGGACGAAAGUCUGAUGGAGCAACGCCGCGUGAGUGAAGAAGGGUUUCGGCUCGUAAAGCUCUGUUGGUAGUGAAGAAAGAUAGAGGUAGUAACUGGCCUUUAUUUGACGGUAAUUACUUAGAAAGUCACGGCUAACUACGUGCCAGCAGCCGCGGUAAUACGUAGGUGGCAAGCGUUGUCCGGAUUUAUCGGGCGUAAAGCGAGUGCAGGCGGUUCAAUAAGUCUGAUGUGAAAGCCUUCGGCUCAACCGGAGAAUUGCAUCAGAAACUGUUGAACUUGAGUGCAGAAGAGGAGAGUGGAACUCCAUGUGUAGCGGUGGAAUGCGUAGAUAUAAGGAAGAACACCAGUGGCGAAGGCGGCUCUCUGGUCUGCAACUGACGCUGAGGCUCGAAAGCAUGGGUAGCGAACAGGAUUAGAUACCCUGGUAGUCCAUGCCGUAAACGAUGAGUGCUAAGUGUUGGGAGGUUUCCGCCUCUCAGUGCUGCAGCUAACGCAUUAAGCACUCCGCCUGGGGAGUACGACCGCAAGGUUGCAACUCAAAUGAAUUGACGGA
rnacentral:rRNA from 1 species